rnacentral:lncRNA from 1 species
GAAAUAUGACUUAAAUAUACUCUUAAUACAGGCUUCAAAUUUAUGAUUCAUAAUGAUUAAAAUUAUGAUAAAGAUUAAAAUAAAGACACUCCUGGAUAAUAUAUUUUUUCUCACCUUGUAUUAUCUGGCAAUUAAUUUUCAUAACUAGUUUGACCAUAGCUUACUAAAAGUAUCUAAGACUAUUAAGAAGAAUGAUGUUUCAGUUAAAAGAAAAAAAAACCUAGGAAAAGAAAGAAAAUACUGGCAAAAUUCUGAGAUUUAUGAAGAGCAUUUAAGGACAAAGAUAUAAAUGAUUAUGUAAACUGGCAACUCUAUAAUGUUUUAGAAUUAAACCUAAUGAAAGAAAGAAUUCUACUUUGUUGUUGGUUUGAUAAGCAGAGCUCUGUCCAAAUACUUUAUCGCUAAAUAAUAAACACUGUUGCACCUUCAUAUCAUAUAUAACAUGCUUGAAAUGGCUCAGGAAUGAAUAGAACAUACAUAUGGCCAUCCUUAGUUUCGAAAUGGUCUCUGCAGUGUAUUAUGGACUACCUACUCUGGGUUUACAAUCAAAUAAUUAUUAGUGAGUUAUUUCCUUCUAUCAAUAAACUGUUUACACAUGGCAUUUUUAUGCAAAAAAAUUACAAUCAAACUAAUUC